rnacentral:lncRNA from 1 species
CCACUCUGGAUGCCAAGAAGUCCAAGGCUUAAUACCUUUAUCCUCGUUACUCUCUCUGGAUCCCGAGGACUGGGGUGUUAUAACAAUCUUGGAGACUUGUGUCCAAGUCUUAAUUUUUACUACUCUACUUGUUUUACUACUCAGCUAAACUAAGAACAAAAUAACAAGUCAACUUGAAACCCAAGGCUGAUCGGGAUUCUUUCUCCGAGCCUAACUGGGAGCUCCCUGUUUGAUGCCAAGAAGCCCAAGGCCAGAUACAAUGGAGUUUUUGGAUAUAAACCAUAUAUUUUGAUGAAGAGGCCUGAUCCUCCUACCGUAGUAAGCCUUCAACAGGUUUUCUGACUGAGCUACCGGAUCCACUUCAACCCCAAGCCAGGCCAGUCUACUAGAUGUCUCACCUAAUUGAACAUUCAACAACCUGCAUAUGAAUUCAACCAUUAGAAAAAAUAAAUAAAUU